rnacentral:rRNA from 1 species
GAUGAACGCUGGCGGCGUGCCUAAUACAUGCAAGUCGAGCGAACGGACGAGAAGCUUGCUUCUCUGAUGUUAGCGGCGGACAGGUGAGUAACACGUGGAUAACCUACCUAUAAGACUGGGAUAACUUUGGGAAACCGGAGCUAAUACCGGAUAAUAUUUUGAACCGCAUGGUUCAAAAGUGAAAGACGGUCUUGCUGUCACUUAUAGAUGGAUCCGCGCUGCAUUAGCUAGUUGGUAAGGUAACGGCUUACCAAGGCAACGAUGCAUAGCCGACCUGAGAGGGUGAUCGGCCACACUGGAACUGAGACACGGUCCAGACUCCUACGGGAGGCAGCAGUAGGGAAUCUUCCGCAAUGGGCGAAAGCCUGACGGAGCAACGCCGCGUGAGUGAUGAAGGUCUUCGGAUCGUAAAACUCUGUUAUUAGGGAAGAACAUAUGUGUAAGUAACUGUGCACAUCUUGACGGUACCUAAUCAGAAAGCCACGGCUAACUACGUG